UCUAAACCAUAAGCUCGAGCAUAUGCGCAAAUUUGCAGUGACAAGUGAGAUAAGUGCUGCAGAGGCAGGAAAUAACCUCGAUGAUGGAAAGUUCUUCUUUUCAGCCAAAUGUGAGGAGGACGACAAUGAAGAUGGCAUCGAUGUCUCUUGUCUCUGUGUUUCUGCUCAGCUGCCUCGCUGUCACCUCCAUCAGCUCUCAAGAUACUAUGGUUGUUGCAGUGGGAGACAACGUCACUGUUCGGCUGGGAAGUCUAACCCUAAAUUCUACUGAUAGCCUGAGGUGGAAGUUAAAUGACGAUUUAUUGUUUUAUAAAAAACCUGAACAAAUCAUCACUGGAAAAAAAGGAGAUAUUGAAAAGGAUGGAUCCCUCAAACUGACUAAUAUAAAGAAGAACCAGGCAGGAACUUACACUGCUGAGGUUUAUGACCAAUCUGGAAAAGUAAAGGGCACACAGAAAAUAAAAUUAAUUAUACUGGAUCGUGUGAACAAGCCUACAAUAAAAAUAUCAUGCAAUGAUAAAACAGUGAAAUUUGAAUGUGUUUCUACAAAGG